AUUUAAAUAGUUUAAUUAAAAUAUUAAAUUGUGGAUUUAAUGAUGUAAUUUACUUUAGAUA
rnacentral:tRNA from 1 species